rnacentral:rRNA from 1 species
AACGAACGCUGGCGGCAGGCCUAACACAUGCAAGUCGAACGAGAUCUUCGGAUCUAGUGGCGGACGGGUGAGUAACGCGUGGGAACGUGCCCUUCUCUACGGAAUAGUCCUGGGAAACUGGGUUUAAUACCGUAUACGCCCUUUCGGGGGAAAGAUUUCGGGGAAGGAUUCGGCCCGCGUUGGAUUAGGUAGUUGGUGGGGGUAAUGGGCCUUACCAAGCCGACGAUCCAUAGCUGGUUUGAGAGGAUGAUCAGCCACACUGGGACUGAGACACGGCCCCAGACUCCUACGGGAGGCAGCAGUGGGGAAUCUUAGACAAUGGGGGCAACCCUGAUCUAGCCAUGCCGCGUGAGUGACGAAGG